UGGGAACCUUCCCUAUGGUUCGGAAUAGCUCAAGGAAACUUGGGGUAAUACCGGAUAAGCCCUUCGGGGAAAGAUUUAUCGCCAUUGGAUGGGCCCGCGUCGGAUUAGCUAGUUGGUGAGGUAACGGCUCACCAAGGCAACGAUCCGUAGCUGGUCUGAGAGGAUGAUCAGCCACACUGGGACUGAGACACGGCCCAGACUCCUACGGGAGGCAG
rnacentral:rRNA from 1 species